rnacentral:rRNA from 1 species
UACGGAGGCCCCAAGCGUUGUUCGGAUUUAUUGGGCGUAAAGGGUGCGUAGGCGGCAUCUUAAGUCUGGUGUGAAAGGCGCGGGCUCAACCUGCGGACUGCAUUGGAUACUGGGAUGCUAGAGGACUGGAGAGGAGAAUGGAAUUCACGGUGGAGCAGUGAAAUGCGUAGAUAUCGUGAGGAAGGCCAGUGGCGAAGGCGAUUCUCUGGACAGUACCUGACGCUGAGGCACGAAGGCUGGGGGAGCGAACAGG